GCCAAUCAGCAGCAGACCCUCCCUCCCAGACCCUCCCACCUCCUGGACAGCUCACUAAGAAUGCAGCUUCACAAUGGAUGCUGUCCAGGAGGUGGGAGGGUCUCGGAGGGAGGGUCUGCUGCUGACUGUCU